AUUGAACGCUAGCGGGAUGCUUUACACAUGCAAGUCGAACGGUAGCACGAAGAAAGCUUGCUUUCUUUGGUGACGAGUGGCGAACGGGUGAGUAAUGUAUCGGAACGUACCCAGUAGCGGGGGAUAACUACGCGAAAGCGUGGCUAAUACCGCAUACGCCCUACGGGGAAAGGGGGGGAUCGCAAGACCUCUCACUAUUGGAGCGGCCGAUAUCGGAUUAGCUAGUUGGUGGGGUAAAGGCCCACCAAGGCGACGAUCCGUAGCUGGUUUGAGAGGACGACCAGCCACACUGGGACUGAGACACGGCCCAGACUCCUACGGGAGGCAGCAGUGGGGAAUUUUGGACAAUGGGGGCAACCCUGAUCCAGCCAUCCCGCGUGUGCGAUGAAGGCCUUCGGGUUGUAAAGCACUUUUGGCAGAGAAGAAACGACUCUGGAUAAUACCCGGGGUUAAUGACGGUAUCUGCAGAAUAAGCACCGGCUAACUACGUGCCAGCCGCCGCGGUAA
rnacentral:rRNA from 1 species